AUUGAACGCUGGCGGCAUGCUUUACACAUGCAAGUCGAACGGUAACAGGCCGCAAGGUGCUGACGAGUGGCGAACGGGUGAGUAAUGCAUCGGAACGUGCCCAGUCGUGGGGGAUAACGCAGCGAAAGCUGCGCUAAUACCGCAUACGAUCUAUGAAUGAAAGCGGGGGACCGUAAGGCCUCGCGCGAUUGGAGCGGCCGAUGUCAGAUUAGGUAGGUGGUGGGGUAAAGGCUCACCAAGCCAACGAUCUGUAGCUGGUCUGAGAGGACGACCAGCGACACUGGGACAGAGACACGGCCCAGACUCCGACGGGAGGCAGCAGUGGGGAAUUUUAGACGAUGCGCGCAAGCCUGAUCCAGCAAUGCCGCGUGCAGGAAGAAGGCCUUCGGGUUGUAAACUGCUUUUGUACGGAACGAAAAGGCUCUGGAUUAUACCUGGGGCUCAUGACGGUACCGUAAGAAUAAGCACCGGCUAACUACGUGCCAGCAGCCGCGGUAA
rnacentral:rRNA from 1 species